GGGGGCGAAAAGGCUUCGACGGAGACGACGAGGUUUUGGUAGCAUGCCGAGCUUUCUGUUGACUCGUAAAAUCGAUGGAAAUUAAAGUAAUCGCAGACGAUUAUAACUACGCUGUAGCUGCUUAGGCAGCUUCCGUCCUGCUGAGAUUUAUCCUGCAGGUUUCAGUAAAGGGCGUCGACUAUGCGGGAACGCUUCACACCGGUGUCUGACUUGUGUGCGGUUAAAAUUCUCAGGCUACACUGAUAUGUAUCCAUCCUGAAGGAGACGUUCAGUUAAAUUUAAAGUUCAGGAUAAGCAUGUAGAGGCCACUGCUAACUCUCUUCGGACGCGGGUUCAAUUCCCGCCGCCUCCACCA
rnacentral:tmRNA from 1 species